GGCGGCGUGCUUAACACAUGCAAGUCGAACGAAGCAGGAAGGAAGAAGUUUUUCGAAAUGGAUUUUUUCUUUGCUUAGUGGCGGACGGGUGCGUAACACGUAGGUAACCUGCCCUGUGCUUGGGAAUAACUCCGGGAAACCGGUGCUAAUGCCGAAUAAUAUCGCCUGUCGGCAUCGAGAGGCGAUCAAAGAAUUUUGGCACAGGAUGGGCCUGCGCCGAAUUAGCUGGUUGGUGAGGUAACGGCUCACCAAGGCGACGAUCCGUAGCCGACCUGAGAGGGUGAUCGGCCACACUGGAACUGAGACACGGUCCAGACUCCUACGGGAGGCAGCAGUGGGGAAUAUUGCACAAUGGGGGAAACCCUGAUGCAGCAACGCCGCGUGAGCGAUGAAGGCUUUCGAGUCGUAAAGCUCUGUCCUAUGGGAAGAUGAUGACGUACCAUAGGAGGAG
rnacentral:rRNA from 1 species